AUGCUGGAGGUAUCAGAAGUGCGAAUGCUGACAUAAGUAACGAUAAUGCGGGUGAAAAACCCGCACGCCGGAAGACCAAGGGUUCCUGUCCAACGUUAAUCGGGGCAGGGUGAGUCGACCCCUAAGGCGAGGCAGAAAUGCGUAGUCGAUGGGAAACGGGUUAAUAUUCCCGUACUGGUGAUAAUUGCGAUGGGGGGACGGAGAAGGCUAGGCUAUCCGGGCGACGGUUGUCCCGGUUUAAGGAUGUAGGCAGGUGAAUUAGGCAAAUCCGGUUCACUAUAUGCUGAGGUCCGACGACGAGUCACUACGGUGAUGAAGUAGCUCAUGCCCCGCUUCCAGGAAAAGCCUCUAAGCUCUAGAUUAUCAUUAAUCGUACCCCAAACCGACACAGGUGGUCAGGUAGAGAAUACUCAGGCGCUUGAGAGAACUCGGGUGAAGGAACUAGGCAAAAUGGUGCCGUAACUUCGGGAGAAGGCACGCUGGCGCUAGGUGAAGUCCCUCGCGGAUGGAGCUGAAGCCAGUCGCAGAUACCAGCUGGCUGCAACUGUUUAUUAAAAACACAGCACUGUGCAAACACGAAAGUGGACGUAUACGGUGUGACGCCUGCCCGGUGCUGGAAGGUUAAUUGAUGGGGUUAUCCGUAAGGAGAAGCUCUUGAUCGAAGCCCCAGUAAACGGCGGCCGUAACUAUAACGGUCCUAAGGUAGCGAAAUUCCUUGUCGGGUAAGUUCCGACCUGCACGAAUGGCGUAAUGAUGGCCAGGCUGUCUCCACCCGAGACUCAGUGAAAUUGAACUCGCUGUGAAGAUGCAGUGUACCCGCGGCAAGACGGAAAGACCCCGUGAACCUUUACUAUAGCUUGACACUGAACAUUGAGCCUUGAUGUGUAGGAUAGGUGGGAGGCUUUGAAGUGUGGACGCCAGUCUGCAUGGAGCCAACCUUGAAAUACCACCCUUUAAUGUUUGAUGUUCUAACGUAGCCCCGUUAUCCGGGGUGCGGACAGUGUCUGGUGGGUAGUUUGACUGGGGCGGUCUCCUCCCAAAGAGUAACGGAGGAGCACGAAGGUUGGCUAAGCAUGGUCGGACAUCAUGCGGUUAGUGCAAAGGCAUAAGCCAGCUUGACUGCGAGAGUGACGGCUCGAGCAGGUACGAAAGUAGGUCUUAGUGAUCCGGUGGUUCUGAAUGGAAGGGCCAUCGCUCAACGGAUAAAAGGUACUCCGGGGAUAACAGGCUGAUACCGCCCAAGAGUUCAUAUCGACGGCGGUGUUUGGCACCUCGAUGUCGGCUCAUCACAUCCUGGGGCUGAAGUAGGUCCCAAGGGUACGGCUGUUCGCCGUUUAAAGUGGUACGCGAGCUGGGUUUAGAACGUCGUGAGACAGUUCGGUCCCUAUCUGCCGUGGGCGUUGGAAGAUUGAAAGGGGCUGCUCCUAGUACGAGAGGACCGGAGUGGACGCACCACUGGUGUUCGGGUUGUCAUGCCAAUGGCAUUGCCCGGUAGCUAAGUGCGGAAGAGAUAACCGCUGAAAGCAUCUAAGCGGGAAACUUGCCUUGAGAUGAGUCUUCCCUGACCCUUAAAGGGUCCUAAAGGAACGUUUAAGACUAAGACGUUGAUAGGUUGGGUGUGUAAGCGUAGCGAUACGUUGAGCUAACCAAUACUAAUGAACCGUGAGGCUUAACCUG
rnacentral:rRNA from 1 species